rnacentral:lncRNA from 1 species
AUGGCACUUGCUACUGGUAGUUUCAUCCCCAUGCCAACCAAUUAUAAAUAUUCCCCUAAAAGAUCUAUGACUAUUACAAUAACAUGCGGUAACCAUAAAUAUAAAGCUAAACAAGUUGAUAGAAGCAGAAAUGGAGGGUAUGGAUCUGGCCCACAGACGACUAGUAUUAAACUCCAAAGCAAAACAACGACCAGAAAUCUUCAACUUGGCAACACUUAUGCCACAACAAUCUUGAGUAGUGUCGAUGAUGAAGAUGAUCUCAACACAAGUAGUCCUAAUAUGAUUGGCAACAUAGAUUAUCAUUUUGAAAUAUGA